GUUGGACGGUUAACCCACUGAGCCUCCCAGGCGCUCCUGCAUCCUGACCUUGUUUUAAGGAUAAAUAGCUUCUCUCUCUGAGGUCAUCACAUAAAAUAUGAGACAUCAAAACAAGGAAGGAAGAAAGGAAACACAGAAGGGAAGUUUAUGUUAGAGACUUUCUUCACAUGCCAGAGAGGAAGGCACAGAAUCUGAAGCAGGCUCCAGGC